UACCUCCCCUAACCAGGUGUUCUACUCUGCUAGCCAGUACCUCCCCUAACCAGGUGUUCUACUCUGCUAGCCAGUACCUCCCCUAACCAGGUGUUCUACUCUGCUAGCCAGUACCUCCCCUAACCAGGUGUUCUACUCUGCUAGCCAGUACCUCCCCUAACCAGGUGUUCUACUCUGCUAGCCAGUACCUCCCCUAACCAGGUGUUCUACUCUGCUAGCCAGUACCUCCCCUAACCAGGUGUUCUACUCUGCUAGCCAGUACCUCCCCUAACCAGGUGUUCUACUCUGCUAGCCAGUACCUCCCCUAACCAGGUGUUCUACUCUGCUAGCCAGUACCUCCCCCUAACCAGGUGUUCUACUCUGCUAGCCCAGUACCUCCCCUAACCAGGUGUUCUACUCUGCUAGCCAGUACCUCCCCUAACCAGGUGUUCUACUCUGCUAGCCCAGUACCUCCCCUAACCAGGUGUUCUACUCUGCUAGCCCAGUACCUCCCCUAACCAGGUGUUCUACUCUGCUAGCCCAGUACCUCCCUAACCAGGUGUUCUACUCCGCUAGCCCAGUACCUCCCCUAACCAGGUGUUCUACUCCGCUAGCCCAGUACCUCCCCUAACCAGGUGUUCUACUCCGCUAGCCCAGUACCUCCCCUAACCAGGUGUUCUACUCCGUUAGCCCAGUACCUCCCCUAACCAGGUGUUCUACUCCGUUAGCCCAGUACCUCCCCUAACCAGGUGUUCUACUCCGCUAGCCCAGUACCUCCCCUAACCAGGUGUUCUACUCCGCUAGCCCAGUACCUCCUCUAACCAGGUGUUCUACUCCGCUAGCCCAGUACCUCCCCUAACCAGGUGUUCUACUCCGCUAGCCCAGUACCUCCCUUAAAACAGGUGUGUGUUUCUCUUUGGCCUCCAGAUACAAUUGUUAAUGGAAUCAUUGGAGGGCUCACAGUACAUCACUUACCUCCAUAGGAUUUAAGAUGGACAACACUGGGAGCACAGCAGGACAGCAGAUUGAACCACUGAAAUUGACAGAAGAAACCAUUUACUAUGACUUAUCCAUAACGCAUUCAUCACACUAUAAACAAUUCAUGAGUGUAUUAUAACCAUUGGCAACCGCAUUGUUAAAGGUCAAUGAAAUAUAUUUAUAUCUUAUCUAUAGCGUAAUCAUGUCAUGAUUUGCAAUAGCUUUAGAUAUCUUAAUAAAUGCGGUAUUACAAUGACA